rnacentral:tRNA from 1 species
AGCGGCGUGGCUCAGUGGAAAGAGCCUGGGCUUGGGAGCCAGAGGUCAUGGGUUCGAAUCCCGGCUCGGCCA